GAGUCUGUGUGUUUUGUUAAAUGUUGCCAAGCAGAGCAGCUUAUCUGACCAUCUGCAUCUGUCCCUGAAUUUUGGGCAGUGGCUUGGGGACGCAUUAUCCCAAGGAGCUUCCUUCCAGCUACGCGUGUGCCGUGUCCCCUCGCGGUGGCCGCAGAUGGGCUGAUGGCCGCUCUGUGACCAGGCUCUGGCUUGGCUUUGGCAGGCUGGCAUCCUGCAGCUGCCCCGGGCCCUGGCAGAGCCCCAAAUGUGCCUCCAGAUGCCUGCAGGAUCAUAUUUUGUGAUACAACAGCUAAUAGCUGAAGAACUCUGCCAUGAAAGUCCCAAGCAGCCCAGCCUUAGCAGUAAUGCAAAUAGAGAUUUCCCCCUUCGGAGCAAAAUGCCAUGAUGCUCACAAGAGCUAUAUAGACAGAAAAUGGUGCUGAUAGAAGCAAAAGAGGAAAGUUUUCAUCAUCCAAACAACAUGGACCUAAAUAUUGGAACCUAACAUUGGAAACUAAAGGCCAAUUACUCCCUGAGGUGCAUGGGGGGCCACUUCCACUGUAAUCAGUCUUGUGAUUGUGAAGGCAGAAGAGGACCUUGACUGUCUGUAUCUGGACUUUGUCAGCCCAUUUGUUUGUGACCAUAGUUGUAUCAUUACUGUGCUUUUCAAUAAAGGGAUGUUCACUGAGGCA
rnacentral:lncRNA from 1 species